rnacentral:hammerhead_ribozyme from 1 species
AUCCAGCUGACGAGUCCCAAAUGGGACGAAACGCAAGUCCUGGAU